rnacentral:rRNA from 1 species
AGGCGAUGAUGCAUAGCCGAGUUGAGAGACUGAUCGGCCACAAUGGGACUGAGACACGGCCCAUACUCCUACGGGAGGCAGCAGUAGGGAAUCUUCCACAAUGGGCGCAAGCCUGAUGGAGCAACACCGCGUGAGUGAAGAAGGGUUUCGUCUCGUAAAGCUCUGUUGUUAAAGAAGAACAUGCGUGAGAGUAACUGUUCACGCAUUGACGGUAUUUAACCAGAAAGUCACGGCUAACUACGUGCCAGCAGCCGCGGUAAUACGUAGGUGGCAAGCGUUAUCCGGAUUUAUUGGGCGUAAAGAGAGUGCAGGCGGUUUACUAAGUCUGAUGUGAAAGCCUUCGGCUUAACCGGAGAAGGGCAUCGGAAACUGGCUAACUUGAGUGCAGAAGAGGGUAGUGGAACUCCAUGUGUAGCGGUGGAAUGCGUAGAUAUAUGGAAGAACACCAGUGGCGAAGGCGGCUACCUGGUCUGUAACUGACGCUGAGACUCGAAAGCAUGGGUAACGAACAGGAUUAGAUACCCUGGUAGUCCAUGCCGUAAACGAAGAGUGGUAGGGGUUGGAGGGUUUCCGCCCCUUCAGUGCCGGAGUUAACGCAUUAAGCACUCCGCCUUGGGGAGUACGAACCGCAAGGUUGAAACUCAAAGGAAUGGACGGGGGCCCGCACAAGCGGGGGAGCCAUGUGGUUUAAUUUGAAGGUACGCGAAGAACCUUACCAGGUCUUGACAUCUGCCGCCAACCCUAGAGAUAGGGCGUUUCCUUCGGGAACGCAAUGACAGGUGGAGCAUGGUCGUCGUCAGCUCGUGUCGUGAGAUGUUGGGUUAAGUCCCGCAACGAGCGCAACCCUUGUUACUAGUUGCCAGCACUCAGUUGGGCACUCUAGUGAGACUGCCGGUGACAAACCGGAGGAAGGUGGGGACGACGUCAGAUCAUCAUGCCCCUUAUGACCUGGGCUACACACGUGCUACAAUGGACGGUACAACGAGUCGCGAACUCGCGAGGGCAAGCAAAUCUCUGAAAACCGUUCUCAGUUCGGACUGCAGGCUGCAACUCGCCUGCACGAAGUCGGAAUCGCUAGUAAUCGCGGAUCAGCAUGCCGCGGUGAAUACGUUCCCGGGCCUUGCACACACCGCCCGUCA